rnacentral:rRNA from 1 species
CCUACGGGUGGCUGCAGUGAGGAAUAUUGGUCAAUGGGCGCAAGCCUGAACCAGCCAUCCCGCGUGAAGGAUGAAGGCCCUAUGGGUCGUAAACUUCUUUUAUACACCAAGAAAAAGCAGGACGUGUCCUGCCCCGACGGUAGUGUAUGAAUAAGCAUCGGCUCACUCCGUGCCAGCAGCCGCGGUAAUACGGAGGAUGCAAGCGUUAUCCGGAUUCAUGGGGUUUAAAGGGUCUGUUUAAGGCAUUGGAGAAAUCUUGCCGCUUAAAGGUAAAAUUGCCAUUGAUACUGAUAAGCUUGAGUACAAUUGAGGUAAGCGGAAUGUGUAGUGUAGCGGUGAAAUGCUUAGAUAUUACACAGAACACCGAUUGCGAAGGCAGCUUACUAAACUGUUACUGACGCUGAUGCACGAAAGCGUGGGGAGCGAACAGGAUUAGAUACCCGAGUAGUC